rnacentral:misc_RNA from 1 species
GAUGAAGAACGUAGCAAAAUGCGAUAAGUAAUGUGAAUUGCAGAAUUCAGUGAAUCAUCGAAUCUUUGAACGCACAUUGCGCCUGCUGGUAGUCCGGCGGGCAUGCCUGUUCGAGCGUCAUUUCAACCCUCAAGCCCCCGGGUUUGGUGUUGGGGAUCGGCUCUGCCCUUCUGGGCGGUGCCGCCCCCGAAAUACAUUGGCGGUCUCGCUGCAGCCUCCAUUGCGUAGUAGCUAACACCUCGCAACUGGAACGCGGCGCGGCCAUGCCGUAAAACCCCAACUUCUGAAUGUUGACCUCGGAUCAGGUAGGAAUACCCGCUGAACUUAAGCAUAUCAAUAAGCGGAGGA